rnacentral:rRNA from 1 species
CAGUCGCCACGGGAAUACGGAGGGCGCGAGCGUUACCCGGAUUUAUUGGGCGUAAAGGGCGUGUAGGCGGCCUGGGGCGUCCCAUGUGAAAGGCCACGGCUCAACCGUGGAGGAGCGUGGGAUACGCUCAGGCUAGAGGGUGGGAGAGGGUGGUGGAAUUCCCGGAGUAGCGGUGAAAUGCGCAGAUACCGGGAGGAACGCCGAUGGCGAAGGCAGCCACCUGGUCCACUUCUGACGCUGAGGCGCGAAAGCGUGGGGAGCAAACCGGAUUAGAUACCCGCGUAGUCCCUGUCUCUUAUAC